GAAAUGUUAAAUGAAGUUUCAUCUAUUUUUCUUUUUAAGUUUCGAUUUAGACUAUUUCUUUCAUAUUAUUGCUUCUCACUCAAUUAUUGUAAUAUGCAUGUCAAUAAUUUCUUCUAUUCAGUUUUAAUUCUUAUUGCUUUCAAUCAGAUUUGGACUUGAUUUGUUUAGUGAUAAUAAAAAAAAAUUGAUUUUUUUUAGAAAUCAAUUCCGAUCUGAUGCAGUAAUUUCACCAAUCCAAAAAUCCAAGAACUUUCGAAAAAGAAGAAUUUUGCCAUACCAAAAAGGCAAAAACAUCCGAAAAAGAAGAUGAGUUGCAUUUGCAGAUGAAGAAGAAGAUGGUUAAAUCUCCAAAGAAGAAGUGAUGCUUAAGAAGAAGCGGAGAGGCAGAAGCAAUGUCGGUAAAUAAUAAGUUCACCUGAUUUCCUCAUCCUAAGAUUCAUCAAACGCAUUCUCCGUCACAAAUCAUGGUUGAUCUUCCAAUCAAACCAUAUGAAAUUUAUCAACAAUCAUCCUUGGUUCGUCACGUACCGUCAAGAAUGAAGCAUUCGUACGUUGAUAGAAAAUCGAAUAAAUCAAUGGUCAUUUCCGAUGAGAAUUGCGCAAGUUUUGUAACCUUAGAAAUUGAUAUGUGAAUCGUAUAAAUUAUUAAAUUAUUGAAGUGGAUGUAUUUUGGUGCUUGAAAAGACAUAAAAAUGAGCCACAUGUCAUGUGUGUAUCUUUCAUGCACGCGAAAUCGUGAGUUUGUAUUGGAGUUAUUUUUGUUAA